UACGAAGGGGACUAGCGUUGUUCGGAUUUACUGGGCGUAAAGCGCGCGUAGGCGGAUCGCUAAGUCAGGGGUGAAAUCCCAGGGCUCAACCCUGGAACUGCCUUUGAUACUGACGGUCUGGAGAUCGGGAGAGGUUGGUGGAAUUCCGAGUGUAGAGGUGAAAUUCGUAGAUAUUCGGAGGAACACCAGAAGCGAAGGCGGCCAUCUGGACGAUCACUGACGCUGAGACGCGAAAGCGUGGGGAGCGAACAGG
rnacentral:rRNA from 1 species